UACAAUCGUGGCAUCUAGACGUUUGUCCCCUCGGUCCUCAAUGUUUCCUCUCUCUCCCAAUCCCCAUCUUGCCCUUCCCUAACCUGCCGUCCUCACAACUGAGCGAGCGCCGCUGUAACCUGAACCACCGCCAUGCCCAGGCGCAGGAGAGGGCUCUGGCCAACAUUGCGCCAUCGCCGAGCCCCGCGUCUGCUCCCACGAGCGCCCCUGCCGUUAGUUGGCGCAGGAGAUCGAGGACAAACUGGCACGGGGGUGGUGAAGUACAUGAUCUACUAUGACAUGGUGGUGAGGUCGGCGCCGGUCCGGUUCUGCGGCAGCUGCUUCUCCAUCUUCCACCUCCUCUGCAUCCGCGAGUGAGCGUGCUCCCCGGGCUCCGUCUCCGCCGUCGCCGACCCAAGCCAUCUCUUGGUCUUGCCGUCCCGCCCGACAGCCUCGACCCUAACCACCGGGCUGCAGCGGCAGGUCGGCCGCGCUUGACCACAACUACAAAGGCGACUACAUCAUCGAUUGGAUAGGGCAACUUGCCCUGCACCAUGUCUUCGGCACUCUGCCAGCCACCUAGAGUACUUCACCAUGGAAAUCUCAACAAUUUCCUGAUUGAAUCUUGAAACUACUGUUGCGUUAGUUAUUUCUUUGCAUUUAUUCUUACCUCGGUAAGUUUCACUUUGUUUGAAUUUAUGGAUUAUAUCCAUUGUAAGCUGUUUACCUUUUCACGAUAUCAGUUAGCAACUGCAGUUCUUAUGGUUACAUUUUACUGCUUCAAGAUUGUUUUGAAGUGCUACUGACUGCCUGGGUGGAAAGGAUCUCUGAAUCAAGACAAGAUGUUUUAUCCACUAUUUUCAGAUAAUGUCUUUAUAGGCUGUACUUCAGCACCUGGUUUUCUGAAGCACUUAGGACAAUAUCUGGUAGUGCUGUUUUCCUUGCAGUAUUUCCAAAUGAACUUGAUCUAUCAAAAGUUGGGAAGGGCAAAGAGUUGUGUGAAAAUCUUUCAUGGUCUCUCAAAUUCAUGAUAUUGUUGUGUUUCUUCACCGUACUGAUGGCCUCUCAAAUUAUAUGGACUUCUUAUUCAAGGUCAAGGACAUGCCAUUCCAUUUUCCCGCCUCUAUUCAGGAUGGCAAGGUUCGGCCAUCUUCAGGUUUUCAGAAAUUUUCAUACUCAUACAGUUUUCAUACUUCUAUGAUUUUAUAUUCAUGUAUAUUCCCUUUCCCUUCCUACAUGCAUAUAGAACUAUAUGUUGGUAGCUUAGAUGCCGAUUUUGAUUUCCUUUUAUCUGAAUUAGUUAUGGAAUUAGCUUACCUGACAUCAUUGUUGAAUUCGGUUAUGGAUGUACUGCUGACAUUGUGAGGAUACACUAUCACUUCUUGAGCCUCUCAACAGUUUUUUAUAUAUUGUAGUAUUUGAUUACAUGAAUGCUACAAAGAUCACUUUGAUUAGCACAAUAAACCUACACAGACUUAGGAACCCACUGCUCUGAAGGAGUGGUUCCCAGCUCAAAGCUCUACUCUGAUUUUAUUUGCUGUUCUGGCGCCAUGUGGUUUCUAGCAAAUAAUUAAUAUCCUUUGGUGAGCCAUUUGGGUUACUUCAUAAAAACAUGGUCAGGUUAGUUUACUCUCAGGAACAUGGAUAAUAGAAAAGACAAGUAAAAUGGUCUGACUUUCAUUACAAAUCAUGAGCACGUGUUGUAUGUAAUUGCUAAAAAAAACCACAGUAUGUCAAGUAGAAACAUUACUAAAGGUUUAUAAUUCGUUAAUGUCAUGAAUGUUUGAAGUAGAUUUGUCCAAUUUUUAUGUUCUGUUUUGUUUUUUCUUUUGUUGUGCAGCUAUUCAUCGUGGGCAUUGUACCUCUCCUCUCCCGGUAGUGUGUGCAAGGCGUGGUAGGCCUUCAGGUGUUGGGAGGGGCAGUAGCCGGUCUGUUUGGCAUGCUGUUCCUGUUGCGUCUACGAUUGGUCCAUCUUCGUGUUCCCAGGAUGCGCCGUGUAUCAGCAUGCUAAUGGAUUCGCUGAAUUUCUUCCUCACAUGACAACAUUGUCGGUGGUACAGUUUUAUUGCAGUUACAGUUUGUUGUUUGAGGAUAUAACUGAGUAGGUAAUCCUUCAGUUCAGCCGUGCUUGAGUCAAUAAAUUUGAUACUACAGUUAUUGAUCCUCUAUGCGGUGCAACAGGUCAGAGCAUAUAUAAGUAUGAAGGCGUACAAUGGCAUCAGUAUAUAAUUACUUAAUCCCUUCAUUAAUAUAAAUUAUUUACCUUUCUAAGAGACAAUAGGUCAUAGUCCAUGCAAUAUCUCAUUCCGAUGAGCUGUUAACUAAGGAGUCUUCAUACAACAUGAUACAGACCAAGUCAAAGCUUAGAACUGUAACUUAACUAUUAUUUAGUUUGACCUUUAUAUUUUAUAUUUUUGAAAUGUUUAUUUUACUGAAUUUCAUCUAAUGAUUCAUCACCCUAACCAGCUCUAUGAUUUACUAAUUUAAAGUCUAGGUGAACCAUUCAAGGGUUGUAUUAGAUUUUGUCUAGAUAUCAACAGUUGAGUACAGGUUGAAUGAAAGGUUUCCAACAGACUUUGGAGGAUUCAAAUGCUUAGAAUAUUUUCUGAUGGGAGCUGCUUAAUUUAUCACUUGAAAAAAAUAUUUUUACUAGGUGCAAUAAAGUAAACUUAGUCAUGUAUAAUUUGAGUGGGCAUGACAUCACAAUUAUAUUUUGAUCCCUCAGCUCUUGCUUUCCAUUCACAUAUUUUGUUUUCUUAUUAGUCUUGAAAAAAUGGUUCUUUUAGAAGGUCUGCAAUGAAAAGGUCGUCCAGUAGUGAGUAGUGACAUACAAGGAUUUGGCUCCCGACAGGAAAAAAAUCCCGGGGCUGCUCGGGAUUCUCGGUUACCGCGGUAACCGGGAAAUCCCGCCCGGUUACCGGACGAAUUCAAAAUCGAAAAUUUAAAUUCAAAGAGAAUAUUCGCUAAAAUUAUAUAGAAUAUUCGCUAAAAUUUAAAUUUUUCGCAAAAAAACAAAAAAAAUCGGGAUUUUUUACCCGGUUAGACCAAUUCCCGGGGGUGGUCGGGAUAUCCGGUUCCCGGGCGGGAACCAGAUUUCCCGGGCGGUAACCAAAUCCCUGGUGACAUAUUCCAGUGAAAUAAUCAGUCUUCAUGUUCUAAAAUUGUCAUAGUCCCAUUAUUUGGCCAAGAUCCCAAUUCAAACCCGCAGGGAUAAUUGGAUAACCUACAAGUAUUUUUAUCCUUUUCAAAUAUAUUCUUCCUUCUUUAUCUAUCAUAUCUUUAGUUGUUGUACCACCAUUAAUAGGUUAACAAACAAGCCAUCUGAUGAGCGCCCUGUUUGUUUUGUUAUGUGUUUCUAGAUGCUUGAUGUUCUCCUUUUGUUUUUAUUGAUCGCGUACUUUUGCAGGUUUUUAUGGGGGUCCUGCUGCACGAAUGGUGUUCUUGCUUCUCUUUGAUGAGUAAUUUUUGCCUGGAUGGUCUUUAAAUGGAAGAAGAGUUCUCGUUCUGCGUGCAUGGAUCAGAUUCAUAGGCUCCUCUUCCCCUGAUUCAUCCUUCUACCCAGGAGCAUCCUCCCUGUUCUUCUGGCACUGUUGUGUUAGCUGGCCAACCGAUGCGAAGAUCUCAACCGCUUUGGAGGAUGAAGGUGGAAUCGCUUCAGUUCUCGGCAUCUUGCUCCCACCAAAGAGCACAUCUUGGCGCCUCUCGCGCCAACCAAAGAACUCAUCUUCUGCCCUCUGACAGCAAAGAAGACGGGGCUGACAGCCGCAACAGAAGGCAACAACGAAACACAUGUCCUAUAAUGCUACUUCACUUCUAUUGAGGUUGAGUGAUCAUAAAUACGUCCCAAGUAGAAUCUGCAAUCUACCAUGUACAAUGUAUGUAUGGAUUUUCCUUGCCAACGCCAUCACUUAAUGAUGCUACUACACACGGCGCGGCGUGCGCCACACCAAACUUCCUAGUAAGAUUUAAUA